rnacentral:rRNA from 1 species
UAUUUAUUAGAUAACAGACCAAUAUUCCUCGUGUCUAUUGUGGUGACUCAUAGUAACUGAUCGGAUCGCAUGGCCUUGUGCCGCGACUAACCAUUCAAGUUCCUGACCCAUCAGCUUUCGAUGGUAGUGUAUUGGACUACCAUGGCUUUCACGGGUAACGGAGGAUUAGGGUUCGAUUCCGGAGAGGGAGCCUGAGAAACGGCUACCACAUCUAAGGAAGGCAGCAGGCGCGUAAAUUACCCAAUCCUGACUCAGGGAGGUAGUGACAAGAAAUAACGGGUCGGGGCAUUCGCCUCGGGAUUGCAAUGAAUCGAAUUUACACCCCUUAAUGAGGAUCAAUUGGAGGGCAAGUCUGGUGCCAGCAGCCGCGGUAAUUCCAGCUCCAAUAGCGUAUAUUAAAGUUGUUGCAGUUAAAAAGCUCGUAGUUUGAUUUCUGGACGGGCGCCAACACCCGCUUGUUUAGUGUGGAGGCGGCGCCCGCCCAUCCUUCUGUUAACGCCACCGGCAUUCAUUUGCUGGCGGCGGGCUCAGAUAUUUUACCUUGAGAAAAUUAGAGUGUUUCAGGCAGGCUUGCGC